UGUGGGCCGUGGGGCCGGCAUCUGUGGCGCCUAGGCGCGGAGGCCUUUCCGGGGCUUUCGCGGCCGGCUUGUGGCCUUUCUCAGAGUUGUGGGCCCUCUCCUUGGAUGCCGAGUGCUGACAUCGGCCCAGUGGAGCCCUCUGCUCACCAUGGCACAACCUGUCACUGGAGAACCACCUGCUGGUCUAGGACAACUGGUUCCUGAACAGGGACCCCAGAGUUUCGGAGGAGGAGGAGUCGGAGGAGGACAACCUGUCACUGGAGAACCACCUGCUGGUCUAGGACAACUGAUUCCUGAACAUGGACCCCCGAGUUCCGGAGGAG